rnacentral:rRNA from 1 species
GAUGAACGCUGGCGGCGUGCCUAAUACAUGCAAGUCGAGCGAAUGGAUUAAGAGCUUGCUCUUAUGAAGUUAGCGGCGGACGGGUGAGUAACACGUGGGUAACCUGCCCAUAAGACUGGGAUAACUCCGGGAAACCGGGGCUAAUACCGGAUAACAUUUUGAACCGCAUGGUUCGAAAUUGAAAGGCGGCUUCGGCUGUCACUUAUGGAUGGACCCGCGUCGCAUUAGCUAGUUGGUGAGGUAACGGCUCACCAAGGCAACGAUGCGUAGCCGACCUGAGAGGGUGAUCGGCCACACUGGGUCUGAGACACGGCCCAGACUCCUACGGGAGGCAGCAGUAGGGAAUCUUCCGCAAUGGACGAAAGUCUGACGGAGCAACGCCGCGUGAGUGAUGAAGGCUUUCGGGUCGUAAAACUCAGUUGUUAGGGAAGAACAAGUGCUAGUUGAAUAAGCUGGCACCUUGACGGUACCUAACCAGAAAGCCACGGCUAACUACGUGCCAGCCGCCGCGGUAA